UUUUUUUUAUUUUUAUUAACAGUAACAUGCAAAACAUAAACAUAACAGCCAGAGGGAUUCCACAAAGAAAUGAUUAAAAAAAAUAAAACUCAUCCACAUUAUAUCAAUUCAAAUACAGACAUAUAGCGAAUACAUUUUUUUGACAUUUUGUUUUGUAUACGUUUCAAAGACUCUAAAUAGUUUUCCAAAUCAGAUCAAAAAAUUAAGAAAAGGGCCUUUUUCUUCAUACAUUUUGAUUUGUGUAUGAAAAAUGUUCCAAAUAAAAUAAAGAGAUUUAUGACAUAUUCACAUUCAAUUGUGGAAUCAGUGUAGAAAAAUAAUAUGUCAAACUUAGAUUUCAAUGGUUGUAUGCAAAAUGAGGACAAGAUAUAGUUUUACAUCAGUCCAGAACACUUCACUAUAUAACAAUGACAGAAUAAGUGUUCAAUUAGAGUCUACGUAAUGACGUUACUCAGUUUUACGUUAUUAUGUAAUGACGGCAUCACGCAAUGACAUCACAAUGUCUAUUAGCAACAAAUCAACUUCCUCUGGAAAUUAGUUGGCAACACUGAGCGGAAUGCGGCGAAAGCACCUACCGGUAACUUAGCAUUCAAUCUAAAGCCAUCCUUUUGUUUCAACUCCUCCACUGAUCUUUAGAAUUUACCCUAGACAAAUUAUGGAUUUCUAGUAUCAAACAUGUUUUGUUCUGGUUUGUUUGUUUCAUGUUCAGACCGAUAUCUGGCUGUUAGCAUUGCAACGUCUUUCGAUGAUGAGAAUUUACACAGACCUGUUCUGAAUACUUGAUUGUACUUUAGUAUUUCUGAUGAGAGACUUGCAAAUGUAUUAGAAUUUUUAAAAAAAAUGCUGCGUUCGCAGAACACGUGUCCGCAUCUAGCUAGGUCACAUGAGAACCUACGUUAUUUAAUGGUUGGCUAGCUACCGGGGUUGUAACUGAAAUUAGUGUUGACUUUAUAUUUUCUCCUUUCAAGAUGCCGACGACUCGAAUGUGCUGCUCUGGUAAGCAACAUAUUACUUAAAUGCCUGCUUACGUGGUGGUUUUACUUAGCAACUAGCUAACCACGUGCCAUGUUAGCUAGUAUGCUAGCUUGCCAUUUAGGUGUGACCGGACCAUCAGUCGUUAUAAACCCAACGUUAGGUCUCUGCUACGGUGAUGAUAAAAUGAACUCUCUCUUACCGAAUCAGUCUUUGAAGAAGAAACUUCUUUACCAGAUUCUGAGUAGCAGUUGGCCCCUGACUCGACUGUCGUUGCUGCGUUAAUGACACCCUAUUCUCAAUAGUGUACUACUAAUAACGUUGAUCUGGUCAGAAGUAGUUCACUGUAUUGGAAAUACGUUUCCAUUAGCGACGAUAUCAAUGUUGGGUUCUAUAUGCCUGCGUGUUGCCUGUUCAUGAAGGGACCUCCCUAUCUUCCCCCUGAUCAACAGCAAUGCAGGACAGAUGCCAGGGAAGUCCAGAAGACUGACACGUGAGUGCAUUGACUUACCACCAGGAACAUUAGAUGUGUUCAGCUUGUCAGCCCUAAGCCUUAAGGGUAAAGGUCCUGUGCCCUAAAUCCCCAAGUAUCUUUGUGUGCACUUGGAAAACUGUCAUGGAUUUUCAACUAAAUAGGGAAGUGCACUUUGGGGUGGACUUUCAGGACGUAGUAACUGACUCACACGUGACUGGCUGUAAAUGAUGAUCCUCAAUGACAAGCAUAUAUCUGAUUUUUGGUGAUGCUAACUUUGAUCUGAUGGCCUCCUUGUCCUGUGUUCCAAAGCCUCUUGUAGUAAUAUACAGACUAGUAAGUCACUAACAUGGAUGUGUUCUUUGCUCAGGUCUGCAUUACUUGUGACACGACUUCCUGACUGCAAGGCAUCUGAACAGAUUCUCCACUUGGAGUUCCAUUCUGGAAUAGGAAUGUGUGCUGAAUACCUGAUUCCAGACCACGAGACUGAUGCGCUUUGUGAAAAUCCAGGGUUUGAGUGCUGUGGUCAGUGGAAUUGCAGCGUGGACGCCAACAUACUGUUGACUGUCCUGAAACAAGAUGGCUGUUCUGGGCUGCUCUAAGCUAUGCAGGUUCUUCUGUUUGUGGCUGAACAGGGAGCCGUGAUGCCAACUAGACUGGUCCUGAUGGUGGUACCAGACUGGUCACUAGAAGAUGCCUGUUACUGAACUACCACAAGUUGAUGUCCUUGUGGGUCUGCAGUCUUCAGGAAGGUCCUAACUGUUCCAGCCUGGCCACUGGAGAACUGUUACUGCACUACCUCAAGGUUUCUGCCCCCCUGGUUGAGGUCCUAGUGUUUGGAAAGAGCUCGUUGGCUGCUGAAGUGUUGCUGUGCUGGUGGAGCGGGAAGCUCUCCUACACUGACAAGCCCUCUUGUACUCCUGUUUGGUCAGCAAGGAAGUGGGACGUCUCGUUGGAACUGGGGAAAACCAGGCCAAGUCAAUUCAACCCUGUGACUGUUUUGAUGUAUAAAUAAAUCUACAAAUUAA